rnacentral:rRNA from 1 species
UGAGCAAUCUGCCCUUCACAUCGGAAUAACCAUUGGAAACGAUGGCUAAUACCGAAUAUGACUUCGGAUCGCAUGAUCUGAAGUGGAAAGCUCCGGCGGUGAAGGAUGAGCUCGCGGCCUAUCAGCUUGUUGGUGAGGUAAUGGCUUACCAAGGCGACGACGGGUAACCGGCCUGAGAGGGUGACCGGCCACACUGGGACUGAGACACGGCCCAGACCUNUACGGGAGG